AAAGUAGCUCAGUGGUAGAGCAGCUCACUCGUAAUGAGCAGGUCGCGGGUUCAAUUCCCAUCUUUG
rnacentral:tRNA from 1 species